rnacentral:rRNA from 1 species
UAAUACGGAGGGUGCAAGCGUUAAUCGGAAUUACUGGGCGUAAAGCGCACGCAGGCGGUUUGUUAAGUCAGAUGUGAAAUCCCCGGGCUCAACCUGGGAACUGCAUUUGAAACUGGCAAGCUAGAGUCUCGUAGAGGGGGGUAGAAUUCCAGGUGUAGCGGUGAAAUGCGUAGAGAUCUGGAGGAAUACCGGUGGCGAAGGCGGCCCCCUGGACGAAGACUGACGCUCAGGUGCGAAAGCGUGGGGAGCAAACAGGAUUAGAUACCCUGGUAGUCCACGCUGUAAACGAUGUCGAUUUGGAGGUUGUGCCCUUGAGGCGUGGCUUCCGGAGCUAACGCGUUAAAUCGACCGCCUGGGGAGUACGACCGCAAGGUUA